GGUAAAGUAGUUAAUAGCAAAGGUUUUGAUGUCCUUAGACUCAGGUUCAAGCCUGGCUUUGCCU
rnacentral:tRNA from 1 species